CUGAAUAGGGCGGCAAGUCGGAGGGAGUAGACGCGAAACCAAGUGAUCUACCCUUGAGCAGGUUGAAGGUUGGGUAACACCAACUGGAGGACCGAACCCGUUGAUGUUGAAAAAUCUUGGGAUGACUUGAGGGUAGGGGUGAAAGGCUAAUCAAACUUGGAGAUAGCUCGUACUCCCCGAAAUGCAUUUAGGUGCAGCCUUAAUUAAUUUUUGUAUGAGGUAGAGCGACUGAUUGGAUGCGAGGGCUUCACCGCCUAUCAAGUCCGGACAAACUCCGAAUGCGUACAAAAUCAGAUUAGGAGUGAGGGCAUGGGUGCUAAGGUCCAUGUCCGAGAGGAGAAGAAUCCAGACCAUCAGCUAAGGUCCCCAAAUGUAUGUUAAGUUGAACUAACGAAGUCCGGUCGCCGCGACAGCUAGGAUGUUGGCUUGGAAGCAGCCAUUCAUUUAAAGAGUGCGUAACAGCUCACUAGUCGAGUGACUGGGCGUGGAUAAUACUCGGGCAUAAACAUACUACCGAAGCUAUGGAAUCCGUAAGGAUUGGUAGGGGAGCAUUCUAAACUGCGUUGAAGAUUAUUGGUGAUGAUAAUUGGAGCGUUUAGAAAAGCAAAUGUAGGUAUAAGUAACGACAAGGAGGGCGAGAAACCCUCCCGCCGAAAGACCAAGGAUUCCUGAUCAACGUUAAUCGGAUCAGGGUAAGUCGGGACCUAAUGGUAAGCCGAAUGGCGAGACAGAUGGAAGAACCGGUUAAUAUUCCGGUACUACCUUAUAGAGAGAAGUGGGGACGGAGAAGUGACAGUCCUGCCACCUGACGGAAUAGGUGGUUAAAGGGUGUAGGUGUCAAAUCCGCAAAUAGAGCUGAACCUGAUAGUAUGCAGCGUGCUUGCACAAUGCAAUAUGGAUGUAAUCAGGCUCCCAAGAAAAACCGCUAUCGUUAAUUUAUAAGGUACCCGUACUGUAAACGGACACACGUGGUCGCGUAGAAUAUACUAAGGCGCUCGAGAGAUUCAUGGUUAAGGAAUUAGGCAAAAUAGCCCUGUAACUUCGGGAUAAGGGGCACCUACCCCAGCAAUGGGGAGGUCGCAGAGAAUAGGUCCAGGCGACUGUUUAACAAAAACACAUGGCUGUGCAAAAUUUAGAGAUGAAGUAUACAGCCUGACACCUGCCCGGUGCUGGAAGGUUAAGAGGAGAUGUCAUCGCAAGAGAAGCAUUGAAUUGAAGCCCCAGUAAACGGCGGCCGUAACUAUAACGGUCCUAAGGUAGCGAAAUUCCUUGUCGGGUAAGUUCCGACCUGCACGAA
rnacentral:rRNA from 1 species